GAUGAACGCUGGCGGCGUGCCUAAUACAUGCAAGUCGAGCGAACAGACGAGGAGCUUGCUCCUUCGACGUUAGCGGCGGACGGGUGAGUAACACGUAGGUAACCUACCUAUAAGACUGGGAGGAUUUCGGGAAACCGGAGCUAAUACCGGAUAAUAUUUCGAACCGGAUGGUUCGAUAGUGAAAGAUGGCUUUGGUAUCACUUAUAGAUGGACCUGCGCCGUAUUAGCUAGUUGGUAAGGUAACGGCUUACCAAGGCAACGAUACGUAGCCGACCUGAGAGGGUGAUCGGCCACACUGGAACUGAGACACGGUCCAGACUCCUACGGGAGGCAGCAGUAGGGAAUCUUCCGCAAUGGGCGAAAGCCUGACCGAGCAACGCCGCGUGAGUGAUGAAGGUCUUCGGAUCGUAAAACUCUGUUAUUAGGAAAGAACAAAAGUGUAAGUAACUGUGCACGUCUUGACGGUACCUAAUCAGAAAGCCCCGGCUAACUACGUG
rnacentral:rRNA from 1 species